UACGUAGGGUGCAAGCGUUAAUCGGAAUUACUGGGCGUAAAGCGUGCGCAGGCGGUUUUGUAAGUCAGAUGUGAAAUCCCCGGGCUCAACCUGGGAACUGCAUUUGAAACUGCAAGGCUAGAGUGUGUCAGAGGGGGGUAGAAUUCCACGUGUAGCAGUGAAAUGCGUAGAGAUGUGGAGGAAUACCGAUGGCGAAGGCAGCCCCCUGGGAUAACACUGACGCUCAUGCACGAAAGCGUGGGGAGCAAACAGGAUUAGAUACCCUGGUAGUCCACGCCCUAAACGAUGUCAACUAGUUGUCGGGGAUUAACUUCCUUGGUAACGCAGCUAACGCGUGAAGUUGACCGCCUGGGGAGUACGGUCGCAAGAUUA
rnacentral:rRNA from 1 species